AUUGAACGCUGGCGGCAGGCCUAACACAUGCAAGUCGAGCGGAUGACGGGAGCUUGCUCCUGGAUUCAGCGGCGGACGGGUGAGUAAUGCCUAGGAAUCUGCCUGGUAGUGGGGGACAACGUUUCGAAAGGAACGCUAAUACCGCAUACGUCCUACGGGAGAAAGCAGGGGACCUUCGGGCCUUGCGCUAUCAGAUGAGCCUAGGUCGGAUUAGCUAGUUGGUGAGGUAAUGGCUCACCAAGGCGACGAUCCGUAACUGGUCUGAGAGGAUGAUCAGUCACACUGGAACUGAGACACGGUCCAGACUCCUACGGGAGGCAGCAGUGGGGAAUAUUGGACAAUGGGCGAAAGCCUGAUCCAGCCAUGCCGCGUGUGUGAAGAAGGUCUUCGGAUUGUAAAGCACUUUAAGUUGGGAGGAAGGGUUGUAGAUUAAUACUCUGCAAUUUUGACGUUACCGACAGAAUAAGCACCGGCUAACUCUGUGCCAGCAGCCGCCGCCGUAA
rnacentral:rRNA from 1 species